AUGAAAUCAUGCUGGAAGUUUGACUUAUGGACACAAAACAGGACUUGUACCACAGAAAACUAUUAUUAUUAUGAUCGUUUCACAGGGUUAUACCUUUUUCGUUAUGCCAAUCUUAAUUGUAAACCCUGUGCACCUGGAAUGUAUCAAAUGUUCCACAACCUGCUGAGAGAAACGUUUUGCUGUAUUGACAGGAACUACUGUAAUGAUGGCACUGCUAACUUGGAUAUCUCAUCAAUACUUAUAGAGGAUAUGAAUCAAAAGAAAGAGUUGAAUGAUGAUUGA
ensembl:lincRNA